rnacentral:rRNA from 1 species
CCGCGAAUGGCUCAUUAAAUCAGCUAUGGUUCCUUAGAUCUUACAUCCUUACUUGGAUAACUGUAGUAAUUCUAGAGCUAAUACAUGCCAAUGAGCCCUUACUUGUUUAAAGUCGGGCGGAUUUAUUAGAUCAAAACCAAUCGGAUUUUCCGUUUGUUUGAUGACUCKGGAUAACUUUUCUGAUCGCACGGCCYUUGUGCYAGCGACRUAUYUUUCAAGUGUUUGCCCUAUCAACUGUCGAUGGUAGGUGAUAUGCCUACCAUGGUUAUAACGGGUAACGGGGAAUCAGGGUUCGAUUCCGGAGAGGGAGCCUUAGAAAUGGCUACCACAUCYAAGGAAGGCAGCAGGCGCGCAAAUUACCCACUCUCAGUUCGAGGAGGUAGUGACRAAAAAUAACAAUACGGGACUCUUAUGAGGCCMCGUAAUUGGAAUGAGUACAAUCUAAAUCGUUUAACGAGUACCAAUUGGAGGGCAAGUCUGGUGCCAGCAGCCGCGGUAACUCCAGCUCCAAU